GGACUGUGAGGGCAAUCUGGCUAAGACAUCUGUCACCCCACUGAUCACCAGGGUUAAGCUAGCUGGUCUGGCUGGCUAGGUGGGUGUCCCCUUCCUCCCUCACUGCUCUGUGUGCAUCUCUCCUGAAGCUGAAGCUGCAUGCUCAGUGGAACAAGACAACCAGCCCCAACAGAGGAUAACUGGUUCCUCAGCUAGGGGUAGCUGUGCUGCCCUGCUACAAUCUCUAAACAAACUUACAAAACCAAAAUAUAGAAGGAACUGGGGAGGACCUCCAUGUGAAGGCCCUUGGGUUCAAUAU
rnacentral:snRNA from 1 species